GAUGAAGAACGCAGCGAAAUGCGAUAAGUAGUGUGAAUUGCAGAAUUCAGUGAAUCAUCGAAUCUUUGAACGCACAUUGCGCCCCUUGGUAUUCCAUGGGGCAUGCCUGUUCGAGCGUCAUUUGCACCUUCAAGCUCUGCUUGGUGUUGGGUGUUUGUCUCGCCUCUGCGUGUAGACUCGCCUCAAAACAAUUGGCAGCCGGCGUAUUGAUUUCGGAGCGCAGUACAUCUCGCGCUUUGCACUCAUAACGACGACGUCCAAAAGUACAUUUUUACACUCUUGACCUCGGAUCAGGUAGGGAUACCCGCUGAACUUAAGCAUAUCAAUAAGCGGAGGA
rnacentral:misc_RNA from 1 species